rnacentral:ncRNA from 1 species
CAGAGUAGAAAAUUGCGCGUUAAGUGUCGCCUGAACGGGGAGUUGUCGGGCGAACGAAAAGGCAAAAGCCUUGCGGUGCUUUUUUCGCAUCCCGCUG